UACAGAGGUCUCAAGCGUUGUUCGGAUUCAUUGGGCGUAAAGGGUGUGUAGGUGGCGCGGUAAGUCGGGUGUGAAGUUUCGGAGCUUAACUCCGAAACUGCACUCGAUACUGCCGUGCUUGAGGACUGGAGAGGAGACUGGAAUUUACGGUGUAGCAGUGAAAUGCGUAGAGAUCGUAAGGAAGACCAGUGGCGAAGGCGGGUCUCUGGACAGUUCCUGACACUGAGGCACGAAGGCCAGGGGAGCAAACGGG
rnacentral:rRNA from 1 species